CUGUAUUAGUAAGCAUAUCUUUUAGUGUCGUUUGAACUAAAAGUGGAUAUUGUCACAUAUAAAAAGUCUUACAAAGCAAUAAUAAGAAAUGAAUAAGGAUCAAAUCAGGAAACAUAGCAUAGACAUGGAAUUGUAACAUUUCAUCGGAAAUAUUAAAACAACAUUGCAGGAACAUUAUAAAUAAUUAAAAACUAUAAUGCUAUAAUUUAUGCAUAAUACAUAGCAAAAGAACGAUGCUUUGCAAGAAGUCUUAAUAGAAGCAUUGAAAGAACCAACAGCGCAGGUUACUGAUCCUAGAUGGAAUUUUAGCACGGUUGGGAAAAGGCAUGCGAAGGCUGCCAUAUCGCGACAGAGCUCGUCUGGAAAUACAAUUUUUGACGUUGCUCGCCGAAAAGGAAGAUCUUUGUGCUUACAAUGAUCCAAAUACUGAACAAUCAACACGGUAUUAGCUGGAAACGUUUUUAUUUUUAUUUUACGAAAAUAUUUAAUAAUUUUUUAUUUUUAUUUAUUACGAAAAGUUAAUGCAUGAUAGUUAAUAUAUAUCCCAGACAGCACAAAUCUCCUCGGGAUGUCCUGAGGAUGUCCUGAGGACGUCCCGAUGUCCUAAGGACAUCCACAGAACGUCCAUGGGAUAUCGUGUGCUGUUUGGGAUAU